rnacentral:sRNA from 1 species
AACGGCUUCACAAAUCAUUUCUAUCAAUGCAGUGUCUGAGGCAAACAUGAACCUACUCCACAAGCUCCUUUCUCUCCACGCACUGGAUUCAUUAAAGCAAACACUUAUUGCAAUGGUUUAGGAAAGCAACACCCUAUCUCUCUCUUGCUCGACAAACCCUAAAUCAGACACAAAAUCCCCUUCUUUGUGGUGCACUAGAAACCCUAAAUCGAACACAAAUUCUGUGCAAAAUUGGUGUUUACAUUGUGUUCACAAAAGCGAGAAGCUGAAUAGGAUUGUGUUGUCGUGAAAUUUGAGUAGUGUUCAUUGUAUUAAUGAUUACAAUUUAUUUAUAUUGUGUAAUGAUAACGAAGGAAAAUAAUAGGGUAACCAGAGGGGAGAAUUUGAGGUUGAGACAACAGAAGUGUGAUUGUAGGGCAGAGAUGGUUGGGAUGAAUUCUGUGAGAUCUGGUAGGAGCUACCUUAGACCAUGUAGAUGAGUAGAAAUUGUUGAGUUUCGUAGAGGAGAACCAAGAACUAAUCCUUGUUAGGAAUGUAUGAUUUUACCUUGUGAUGUUCGAUGAUGUUGUCGAUGCGAUAUGGUAGCUUCACUCUCUGAUUUAAACUUCGUCGUAUCUUGUAUAUAUUAUGUAUGCCAUAUUUGGGAAAGUUUGGCACGAAUUGUUGUCGUAGAUAUGCUUGUUGUUGACUUGUUGUAUAUGGUAUAAGCUUGAGUUUGGAUGUCAACAUUAAUUGAACUUCACAUCUUAGAUAAAGUGAGAGUAUGUUAAUUGUUUAAAUUUUUACCCAUGUUAUACUGAACAUCCAAGGGAAAAUAAAGGAAUUAAAUGAAAGAUACUACUUUUUUGUUGUGUGAAGAUUUGACCAUACCGCUUUGUUUCUAAAUGGAAAUAAAAUCCAUG